rnacentral:tRNA from 1 species
GCCUUCGUGGUGUAGUGGUCUGCAUGGCCGACGCGUAACCGAGAGGUCCGUGGUUCGAUUCCCGGCGAAGGCG